GAUGAACGCUGGCGGCGUGCCUAAUACAUGCCAGUCGAGCGAACGGACGAGAAGCUUGCUUCUCUGAUGUUAGCGGCGGACGGGUGAGUAACAUGUGGAUAACCUACCUAUAAGACUGGGAUAACUUCGGGAAACCGGAGCUAAUACCGGAUAAUAUUUUGAACCGCAUGGUUCAAAAGUGAAAGACGGUCUUGCUGUCACUUAUAGAUGGAUCCGCGCUGCAUUAGCUAGUUGGUAAGGUAACGGCUUACCAAGGCAACGAUGCAUAGCCGACCUGAGAGGGUGAUCGGCCACACUGGAACUGAGACACGGUCCAGACUCCUACGGGAGGCAGCAGUAGGGAAUCUUCCGCAAUGGGCGAAAGCCUGACGGAGCAACGCCGCGUGAGUGAUGAAGGUCUUCGGAUCGUAAAACUCUGUUAUUAGGGAAGAACAUAUGUGUAAGUAACUGUGCACAUCUUGACGGUACCUAAUCAGAAAGCCACGGCUAACUACGUG
rnacentral:rRNA from 1 species